GAUUAUCUAAGUUUUGUUUAGUUAAAACUACUUAGAGUUUUAAAUCUUGAUUUUACUGGGUCAGUGUAAGAUCUUAAUAUACCUUUAAGAUCGUUUAGUAAGAAGUUCGCAAAUCGAUUUUCAAGUGACUAUACCGUGAGUUAAAAAUUGAGUCCCUUAUCAACCUCAAUGACAAAUGGCUUCAAUAAGUUUAAAGCUGUCUCCUUCAUAAAUGUUUACAGGAAGAAGAGUUCGAUGGCGGAUCCUUUAAUAACGAUGAGAGUGAGGAGACUGGUAGUUUUUUUGUGCGCAUUUAGCGUGAAUUAUUUUUAUAUAUUGAGUAUUGAACUUCUAUCUAACCAUUUUUAGUCACGAG
rnacentral:lncRNA from 1 species